GUCCACGCCGUAAACGAUGUCGACUAGCCGUUGGAGACCUUAGAGUCUUUAGUGGCGCAGCUAACGCGAUAAGUCGACCGCCUGGGGAGUACGGCCGCAAGGUUAAAACUCAAAUGAAUUGACGGGGCCCGCACAAGCGGUGGAGCAUGUGGUUUAAUUCGAUGCAACGCGAAGAACCUUACCAGGUCUUGACAUCCAGAGAACUUUCCAGAGAUGGAUUGUGCCGCAAGGAGCUCUGAGACAGGUGCUGCAUGGCUGUCGU
rnacentral:rRNA from 1 species